AAAAUAAAAUAAAAUAAAAUAAAAUCAAAUCAAAUCAAAUCAAAUCAAAUCAAAUAAAACCAAAUAAAAUAAUAUAAAAAAUUCAGAAACUGGGUUGCCUUCCAGCAAGCGCUCUUUUUAUGUCACUAGCUUGACCUGGUAGAGUUCAAACACCCAUCAAUAGGUGUUGAUACUCCCCUUUCUUGAUAUUCUUUUCUUUUUCUUCUUCCUGCUGAAUUUCUUCAUAAAAUUAAGAACACCAAGCACCUGUUUCCAUGUUUCAACCAUAGGAACUUUAAUCUCCAAUUUCUUGAAGAUCGCCGACUUGAACUUAUUUCCCUUCCUAUGAUUUUUCUUUUUAUGAGGAAGAUGUUUUUCAUGUGACCUUUUUUUCUUUCCUCUCUUCCUCUUUUUCUUAAUUUUCUCCUUCCUUAACCCUCUCUUUUUCUUUUUCUUUUCUUUCUUUAUUUUCACAUUUUUUUUCUUUUUUUCUUUUCUUUCAACCACUG
rnacentral:lncRNA from 1 species